AUGGCGCCCUCCAGCCUGCUGUGGGCCCUGGUGGCCUUCACCUGCUCUGGCUCUAGUGUGGCCCAGAGAGUUAUUCAAGACCAGCCAGAUAUAGCCACACAAGAGGGGUCAGUAGUAGUCACCCUGAAGUGCCAAUAUGAAACAAGUUUAAGCUACUACUAUCUUUAUUGGUACAAGCAGCUUCCUGAUGGAAAGAUCACUCUCCUUAUAUCUCAGCAUUCUUCUGACAGCAAUGCAGUAAAGGAUUGCUAUUCUAUAAACUUCCAGAAAGCAGACAAAUCCAUCUACCUCAACAUUGUACACUUACGACUGGAAGAUUCAGGAAAGUAUCUCUGUGCUCUCUGGGAAAGCACUGUGUUCGAAGUGAUAGGAAAAGCUGAACAAAAACCCCAGAGGUGA